UAGUCGUGGCGGCAGUCAUGGCGGCUAUGUCGGGUUCAGUUCGCCUGCAUCGCUGCAUGGUGUCGCCGGCUGGGAGGCACAGCGCCUCUCUGAUCUUCCUGCACGGCUCAGGUGAUUCUGGACAAGGAUUGAGAACGUGGAUCAAGCAAGUUUUAAAUCAAGAUUUAACAUUCCAACACAUAAAAGUUAUUUAUCCAACAGCUCCUCCCAGGCCAUAUACUCCUUUGAAAGGAGAAUUCUCCAAUGUAUGGUUUGACAGAUUUAAAAUAUCUAAUGACUGCCCAGAACACCUUGAAUCAAUUGAUGUAAUGUGUCAGGUGCUUACAGAUUUGAUUGAUGGUGAAGUAAAAAGUGGUAUCAAGAAGAACAGGAUAUUAGUAGGAGGAUUUUCUAUGGGAGGGUGCAUGGCAAUGCAUUUAGCAUACAGAAAUCAUCAAGAUGUGGCAGGAGUAUUUGCUCUUUCUAGUUUUCUGAAUAAAGCAUCUGCUGUUUACCAGGCUCUUCAGAAAAGUGAUGGUGUCCUUCCUGAAUUAUUUCAGUGUCAUGGUACCGCAGAUGAGUUAGUUCUUCAUUCUUGGGGUGAAGAGACAAACUCAGUGUUAAAAUCUCUAGGAGUGAGCACAAAGUUUCAUAGUUUCCCAGGUGUCUACCAUGAGUUAAGCAAAGCUGAGCUAGAAAAACUGAAGUCAUGGAUUCUUACAAAGCUACCAGACUGAGUAGUUCAUACUUUCCUUACACAAAUCUGUUGGUUAGUACUCUGCUGAAGAUUUGAGGGGGACCCUCUGAAGAUCUCUGGCAGUCUUGCAGCUGUCCAAUACUCUAUCAUAUGAACUCGAAGCUCCUUGACUUUCUGGACUCCCAGCUCUGUCUCCUCCCUCAGCUCCAUCUGGGUCUCCGUCUCCAUGCUGUAGCCUUGAAACUCUUCACACAAGGAGGACCUCUAUUCCAAUGUUGAAUAAAAGUAACAAGAGUGGACAACCUUGUUUCCAUUCCCAACAUCGGGAAAUCUUUCAACAAAUCACAACUAAAUAUAAUAUGAGGAAACAGGCUCCUGAAGAAUAAGCUUCAACAAGUCAUUUGCCUGAGGUCGAUCACCCAGCCAGGUAAUAAAUUGUAAAGAAGAGGUUUGAAGCUAGACGGAUAUGACUCCAAACUCGUGUUCUUUCAACCAUUUGGAGGCUCUGAAACCUAAGCUCCAUCAGAAUCAUCUGGGGUCCCCAUAUAUAUUUCUGAAUCCCAUUCUGGAUUAUUUUAAAAAGAAUUUUUUUGUGCUGGGGCCCAGGAAUCUAUUUUAACAGGGGUUCCAUGUGAUUUUUGAUAUGUAGCUAGGUUAGGAAUAACUAAAACACAACACACUAAUUUUCCAACUUAUAAUACAGUAACUGGUGCAAAACGCUUAAUAAAUAAUCAUUCAUUUGACAAAUAUUUAUUAAGCAUCUACUAUGUCUUUGACAUUGUUAUGGGCAUGGCAGUUGCAAAAAUCCCAGCUCUCAUGAAGCUUCCAUUCUGGUGUGGGCGUAGAGGGAGGUCACAGGAGACGACGGAAACAUGACGAAUAAGCAAAUUACGUGUUAUAUGACGAGAUGGUAAGGGCUAAGGAAAACAGUAGCGAAGUGUAAGGGGCUCGGCGGGGGUUAGGUCAGGGUUGCGUUCCCCAUCAAGGCGACAUUUAAAGGAGAUGAGGAAUGAGCCAUGUGCAUCUCUGUGAAUAUUAAC